rnacentral:snRNA from 1 species
AUAAUUUCUUGGCCUUCUGGCUAAGAUCAAGUGUAGUAUUUGUUCUUCUAUCCAGAAGGAUAUAGACACCUUAGAGAGAGUUCAGAGAAGGGCUACUAAAA